rnacentral:RNase_P_RNA from 1 species
CGGUAUAGGGCAACAGAGAGCAAACCGCCGAUGGCUCCUCUUGGGGAGCACAGGUAAGGGUGAAACGGUGCGGUAAGAGCGCACCAGCGUCGGAAGCGAUUUCGGCGGCUGGGUAACCCCCAUCAGGAGCAAGGCCAAGCAGUGGACAUGGGUUGCUCGCUCCCGGCCAAUCGGUCGGAAUCCACGGGUAGGCCGCAAAGAUGGAUGGCCACCAAACGGGUCACCCGCAAGGGCCCCGGGCACAGAAUCCCGCCUACAAGGUGACUCACCGA